AUCUUCACCGUUCUGACAGGUCUGCCGGUUGCUUUGCUUUGCAACUUUGGUAGAAGCGCGGCGUGGGUGCGGCUGACAGCUCUACGCACGCGCGAUGCCGGUCCACGUCCAGCCCACCGCAAGCCACGCCCACAGCGCAGGCCACGCCCACCUGGGCGGCUGGCUGAGCUGCGGCUAAGAACCGGUCGCUGCUGGUGCUUGUGGGCGGAAGAACACACACCGGAUUCUGAAAUAGUUGUAAACAGUGUCUACCCUCCCCGAGAAAUCACAUCCACAUUAGACCCAAAUAAGCGGCAAGAUCCUGUGCUUCAACCUCGUUUCUCAGAAUAAGCGAUUUUUCUCCAUCGGGGUUUCUCAAGCACGGGUGAUGGUGGAGAUUUGGACUGGGGUGGAUGUCCUUCCAGAAUGUCCUUCACUUUCUCUAUUUUGGCUGUUUCUGCAUAUUGAGCUCCCAGGCCCAUUCCAGUGUGGUUCUCUACAGUACUGCUCCAGAC